CGCACGCGAGCUUGCUGGGGAGGCCCAGAUUUUAACCCGCGUCAACUUCCAGACUGCAAAUAGCCUAAGCUACAGCGUUAACCCUACAACGAUACUUGCAUACGAGAUGACACCUUACGUGUGGAGAACCCCGGCGGAAGUUGAUUGCAAACCUGUGCGUUCUGUGGAUAUAAAAGGACAGUGAAGAUAUCGACAGGAAGUGACUGGGAGAGAGAGACGGGGAAGGGUCAGCAAAGGACCAGUGCCAUACUCGAACCCGGAUCGCCGGUGGCCUAGUGCCCUACCGCCACAGUAGCAUAACCAACACGGUCAAUUUGGAGCCAGACCUGCCCUAGUACAUCGUGGCCCUCAGAUCGCUACACUGUGAAAGACCAAGGAAAGAGGCCUGGAAACUCAACGCUGUAUGAGCUGAAGACGAAAAUGAAGCAAAAUAUGUUUGCUUUCGCCACCAACAAAAAAAAUGCUGUCACGCUCUCAUUCUGCGGAGAGCCCCAGAAUUUUUUGACUGACUCUAUCCGUGUCCUGAUCUUGCUGAAGAACACGGACUUCGGCAACCUCAGAUGCACGAUGAUGCAACUGCAGAGAUUCCUGGAGAGAUGAGUAGCUUCAUGUAGCAGCCUACCUUUCCAGCGGUGACUCUGGUCAAGCCAAAUGGCUUUUCUCCUUAAACUGGUGUUAUUAAAACCUUUUCUGCAUCCAGGAGGAAUAGCGUUUUGUUUUAUUACAUCUUAUUUUCCUCCUUCCAGGUCUUGUGUAAAGCACUGCUUUUCUUUUAUAGCCAGUCCGCGCAACACACACACACACACACACACACACACACACACGUGCAUGCGUCCGCACACACACACUAUUCUUAAUAGAUUAAAAUAGAAGUGAACAGAAAAGCCCUUGACUUCAGUCCAUCGAGGUCACAUGCCCCUCCGUGCUCUAUUGUAAACACUCACACACACACACACACACACACACACACACACACACACACACACACACA